UUAUCAUUUUAAAAUCCUGAAUUUUUCCCUUAUCUUCUCUUUCAGCAGCCGAUUGCUAUACCCUUUUUUUUUUUUUUUCUCGCCCCUCACUAUCUCUCUCACUUCGGCCAUUGCUCGUGCUCCUGCUUGUGUGCUGUUGUUGCUCUCGUUUUGCCGGUGUCGUUGUGCUGCUCUUGCUUCGUCUGCGUUGCUGCUUCUCUCGCUUUGCCUGCAUUGCUGAUGUGCUUGCUUCACUGGUAUCAUUGUGCUGCUCUCACUUUGCCUAUGUCGUGGCCGCUCUCUCCGUUUAUUGUUCUCAAUCUUACUGUCGCUCUUACUUUACAAGCUAUAGAGCUAGACGUAGACUAUCUCUCGUGUUGCUUGUGGUCUCCCUCUACUAUCAUCACGGUUGCCGUUUGUUUUGCUUGUUUUUUCUUAAAUCUACAUAUUUUUAUUUUGUGAAAGAAUCUGCAUUCUGUAUUUUUAAAUCUAUUUAUAUUUCUAAAUCUAUUUGUUGAUAAAUUUUAAAUGCAAGAUUUUUCAAUAAUGAAAGAAAUUUUUUGAAUUAAGAAUGAUUAUUUUUCUACAUGAAAAAUCAAAAUUGUAAGGGUUUAGAGUUUGUAUUUUAGAUUUGUUCUAUUGCUAAUUUUUGGAUGAAAUUUUAUUUUUGAUGUUGCAAGGUAUUCAUUGAAUAAGGGGAUUUUGAAAUGAAUAAACGAAUAGAAAUUUUUUGAUUCAAUUCAAUUAUUACUUUAAAACGGUUUGAUUCUAUUUUGUAAUAUAUAUAUAUAUAUAUUACAGAUUAUAAUUAAUUAAUUAAAUUUACUAAAUAAAAUAAUAAAAAAAUAUUUAAUAAUUAAAUAAUGUGUAAUUUUAUUGAAAUUGUAUAAUAUAUAAAAUACACUAUUGAAAUUACAUAUUAUUUCGUGCGACUAUAAAUUAUUUAAAUAUAUAUAUAUAUAAAUUGAUUUUUCAGUACAGAUUCAAUAAGAUUUUGGUUUAGUUUUGAUAUAAUUUUUGAUAAAAAAAUCAGAACUAAAUAUCUAAAUAAAUUUUAUAUGGUUUGAUUUUUCAACAAUUGAUUUGUUUUCAAUUUUAAUUCAAUAUGAUUUUUCAGUUUGAUUUAAAAUUUUAAAGAAUUGUGCACAGCCCCAAUACAGGGGUAAAAUAUUUUGACAAACACCCAUUAUUGAUAUGGUAUUUUUCACCUACUUCAUAAAUAAUUUCUUAUGCCCUCUCCUUCGUGAAUAAAAUUUUUUUAAUACCUUUUAAAUAAAAACCCCAAUUGCUGAGGCAUUCUUAUUUACGCAUGAGAAUCAUUUUGUUUACUGGAAGACAAGUUUCAGGAGUGGUUAAUUAACUAAUCCUUGUAAAUCAUGUAUGUAAUAUCUGGCUAAACUCCAGUAUCAGAAUUCCUACCGUUCGGUGGAAUCUCGGAUGUCGGAAACCUCUAGAAGGGUAAAAUCAUGUUUUUAUAAAAUAUUUUGAUGUAUUUUAUGAUUUUAAGUAAAAAAGAAGUAGAGUUUUUAAAUGAAAAUAGCCUUGGAAGAAGACCCAGGUUCGGCCGCUGAAUCCCAAGUUCGGCCGCCAAACGUGCAUGCGUUUCGGGAGUGCGUUAGGCCCCCGAAAGCAUAAGUGAGGGAAGUCCAGGUUCGGCCGCCGAACAUGGCAUGCGGAGGCACGUUAGGCCCCCGAAAGUGGUCUGGCCAGCCACCUAUAAAGGGGUCCCCAUGUCCGAACGGGAGAGCUUUUCUCCCCGUUUUCGGCCAAGGUGAGUUCUCCGCCGUCCCUCAUCGAUUUUGAGCUUCUUCCUUCGAAUCUUCAUGAUUUUCUUAUGAGUUUUCACUUGGUUUGAAGAUCCUUGAGCAAAAGAGCAAGUUUGGAAGCUUGGAGACCAAAGAGUGGAUUUCUCCCUACCUCCAAGCUAGGAUCGUCUUUCCUCUCGAUCUUCAAGAGGUAAGCUUAGAUCCAACCUUUUUUGCAUGUUUUAAACAAGUUUUAUGAAGAUCUAUGGAGUAGAAAUGCAUGUUAGGUUAUUGUUAUGUUUAUGGGUUUAUGUAUGUUUAUGAACAAUGUGGGUUGUUUGAUGUGUUGUAGUUGGGGUUUAGGAUAGUUUGAAGCCCCUAGGAGCUUGUAUGCUUGAGUGUGCAUAUUGUAGAAUAGGAAAAUGCAUGAUUGAUUGAGUUGGGAGGCAUUUGUGCAUGUUGGAGCCGGGUUUCUGUCCUUUGGGAGAAACCAGGUUCGGCAGCCAAAGGGACUUUCGGCCGCCGAACCUGCCUGUGGAGGCAACUUUCGGCUGCCGAAGCCUGCCCCCGAAAGUAGACUUUCGUCUCUGGAGGGGACUUUCGGCCGCCGAAGGUGCCGCCGAACAUGCAUGAGUUUCAUCUCUGGAGGGAACCUUCGGCUGCCGAAAGUGCCGCCGAAGGUGCCUGACUUUCGGCUCUGGAGGGACUUUCGGCCGCCGAACCUGCUGCCGAAAGUGCCCUGUUCAGCCCUCCUUUGCAUGAUUUCCUUGAUUGUUUUAAGGUGUUUUAGGGGGGUUUUUGGGGGAUGUUUUUAGAGUUAUGUUUAUGUAUGUUAGGUCCCUUAUUUGAGUCCACCUGUGUAGGUUCGAACCCGAGGAACCAAGGACCCCAGCAGUGAGUUCAGCUGCUUCGGUGUUUGUCAGAGUCAAACAGAGGUGAGUGGAACUAAACUUAAUCUUUUAAAUUGAGAAAUUAAAUGUUUUAUCAUUUUUCAUGCAUCAUGAUUAUGCAAUAGGAUGAUUGCAUUAGAUUUCACGAAAAUGUUGCAUCGCAUUCUCUGUUGUUGAUGUGGGUGAAUGUUGGAUGACCCAAUUAGUCCCUGAGGAAAGACCAGGACCCUAUUCUACGGCCUGGCACAGAUAUGGAACUUGAAGACCAGGUGUCCAGAGGAGGCCCUGGGGCAAUGGUAAGUAAUGUAUGACAUGACAGGAAGACCAGGACCCUAUGCUACGGCCUGGCACGAAAUGAUGCUGGGACUAUUUGGUGACAAGUUCACCCAACCCUUGAUGUGAAUUGUCUGAGCUAUGAUGCAUUUCAUAUGAGCAUGUUUGUUAACAUGUUUUUAUGGUUCUACUCACUGGGCUUGUUAGCUCACCCCUCUCCCUUGACCCCCAGGUUUGCAGGUACAUGAUAGAGCAGGAGGUCGGAUAGAGUAAAGUCUAAGUCAUGUUAUAGCUCGUAGUGGACAUGAUGGAUAUUGUAAUGUAAAGUUGAGUUAUGUAAUGUAAUGAUGAUAUUGAGGUCUAGAAGUGUGCUUGACCAUAGUAUGUUGUAAAUCCCUUUUUAGAUACAUUAUCUUAAAUGUUUAUGGAUGACUAUGUUUAACCAAACUUAAUGCAUGAUUAUGUCACCCCAUUGGAGCAUCGAUGAGGACUCCAAGGUGGGGUUAAUGUUAAUGUCUAUGUUAAUGCAUGCACAGGUUGAGUUUGGUUUAUGAAUGAAAAAGAAAAGUUCAAUUUUUUUAUGUAUAUUGUUGAUCAUGUAUGGGAUUAAUCAGGUUCACAGGUUGCAUGUUAGGCUUGCUACGGGUCCCGGCGGCCUUAAGCCGAUCUGGAUCCUAGCGCCGGUAGCGGUCCGAUUUUCGGGUCGUUACAGAGUGGUAUCAGAGCCCUAGGUUCAUAUGGUCAGACCUAGAGUGUUAGGCUCAUAGAUGUUGUAGAAGGUCAAGCACA
rnacentral:lncRNA from 1 species